UUUAAGGAAUGAAAACACGAUCUGGUAACAGCGGUUUAAAUCUGUUUGCUAAGUGCAAGGAGUUCAACCAACUUUAAACAAGAUGACAAAAAUCUGUUUUUUACUGUACAUUGGUUUAAUUGUAUUACUCAUCGAUGGAGGUAGUGGUUACUCAUGGUCUGCCAAGGCAAGUGGGAAAAAUAAAUAUGUUGGGCGAGACGAACAGCUUCGUCGAAUGAAAGCCUCAAGUGACGUCAGACAAAGAGGCGAUCGAUGGAGAGAGUCUCGUCAUCAGGAUGACAAGUUACAACCAAGCAAAGAUGAUGAUUUUGGCUUUAAAGGUUCCAGAAUGGAGUUACAAUAUUGACAGCAGAUAGGUUUUAAAAGGUCAAAAGAAAUCCGCACCUUUUUACCUGUUUAGCCAAUCAGAGCUUCUUAUACUGUUAAUAUUAUUAGCUGUAUUAGGUCUAUGAAUCAAGACGCGURAAUAAAUAAUCGCUUUUUCUAUUCACACAUUCAAAGCUACCGAUGAGAAACGGUUUUAAAAAAAUAUGAAGAUGUUAAAUGUACGUAAAAUUACCUGAAGACGUAGCUUUUUUGUCAAAUUGGAAAAAGCAAUAUAUUGAACGACUUGCUGGUCAUGUCACAAAAAAACAGAUUUCAAGAAGUGUACAUGUUAUUUAAUAAACCUCAAUUACGACCAUCAA